rnacentral:rRNA from 1 species
CCUACGGGUUGCAGCAGUGGGGAAUAUUGCACAAUGGGCGCAAGCCUGAUGCAGCCAUGCCGCGUGUAUGAAGGAGGCCUUCGGGUUGUAAAGUACUUUCAGCGGGGAGGAAGGCGAUAAGGUUAAUAACCUUGUCGAUUGACGUUACCCGCAGAAGAAGCACCGGCUAACUCCGUGCCAGCAGCCGCGGUAAUACGGAGGGUGCAAGCGUUAAUCGGAAUUACUGGGCGUAAAGCGCACGCAGGCGGUCUGUCAAGUCGGAUGUGAAAUCCCCGGGCUCAACCUGGGAACUGCAUUCGAAACUGGCAGGCUGGAGUCUUGUAGAGGGGGGUAGAAUUCCAGGUGUAGCGGUGAAAUGCGUAGAGAUCUGGAGGAAUACCGGUGGCGAAGGCGGCCCCCUGGACAAGGACUGACGCUCAGGUGCGAAAGCGUGGGGAGCAAACAGGAUUAGAUACCCCCGUAGUC